rnacentral:rRNA from 1 species
GACGAACGCUGGCGGCGUGCUUAACACAUGCAAGUCGAACGGAAAGGCUCCAUCUUGCUGGAGUACUCGAGUGGCGAACGGGUGAGUAUCACGUGGGUAAUCUGCCCUGCACUCUGGGAUAAGCCUGGGAAACUGGGUCUAAUACUGGAUAUGACCUUUCUCCUUAUGGGGUUUGGUGGAAAGUUUUUCGGUGUAGGUUGAGCCCGCGGCCUAUCAGCUUGUUGGUGGGGUGAUGGCCUACCAAGGCGACGACGGGUAGCCGGCCUGAGAGGGUGAGCGGCCCCAUUGGGACUGAGAUACGGGCCAGACUCCUACGGGAGGCAGCGGAGGAGAAUAGAGCACGAAGGGCGGAGUGCAGAUGCAGCGACGCCGCGUGGGGGAUAACGGCCUUCGGGUUGUAAAGCUCUUUCAGCAGGGACGAAGCGUAAGUGACGGUACCUGCAGAAGAAGCACCGGCUAACUAUGUG